CACACACACACACACACACUCACACACACACACAACAUCAAUAUGUGCACUCACCAGACACUCCAAACAGGAUCUCCACUCAUUCAAACACAAGCACGGACGGAGAGACGGACCAAUAAUCAGUAACACGUGACUAAAUACAAUGCAUUUCACAGGAAGAAACAAGUGUCGAUGGUUUGGAAGAUAAGACUCAUCGGGGUAGACGAGAGGAAAACAUGAGGGAAACGGGAACUUAAAGACGGAAACACACACCUCAGCUCUGCAGACAGCAGCUUAAAGUUACUCCAACAGAAAGAAUGUGUGGGUUUUUCUAUUUUUUUUCUUUACUAUAGUAUCAAAAUGUAUUUGACAAUACUACAGUGUACCUAUGCUGUAAAAAUAUGGUUUUAACCGAGAGACAACCAGGGCAUUGAUGACAGGUGUAGCUCAUCAAAAUAAAGCUGAUAAAUAAUGAUAAUAAUGACUAUUAAAGGGGCACUCCAUCAUUAUUACACAUGAAGUUCAGAGAACUCUCCGCCAGUGGAAACAGUUAACCAUAGCAUGUUCUCUUGAACCGAAAGCCUGUAUUAUGAACGAGCUGCAUCGUGCGUAUCUAUUUGAGCGUGUUGCAAGUACACAUUAUGUGUUUGUGUACAUUUAUUUUUGGUAUGUAGUCAAAAUGUUAAUAUAAUAAAUAAAUAUAAAGCACACAUGUAGUCAUAUAAAGAGAUCCACAAAUGAAAAUUCACAAAAACAAACAAACUGAAGCACAUUCAAGAUUACGAUCCAAGUGAGAGGUAAUUUCAUAAAACAUACAGGGGUUUGGUUUCAAAAGAAAGGAUUCCCCUCAAAUGCAGAUGGUGUGUGUGUGCGUGCGUGUGUGUGUGUGUGUGUGUGUGUGUGUGUGUGUGUGUGUGUGUGUGAGAGAGAGUGUGUUUAGCGGAUGGGGGCCUUCAGAGCAGCAUCCACCUCCUCCUCCGUCUGCAGCGUGUGCCACUGGGCCACCGGACGCCUGGGAUUGGCCAGCAUCUCUGACCAGUGGCGCAGCCCGACGCCCGAGGCGCCGUGGCCCAUCCAGCACUUGCCGAUGGCGUCGUUGCUGCCCAGCUUGUCGUAGUCGUACACUGUGAUCACCACCUGGAGUUUCUGUUCGUGGAGAGAGCAGAGGGACGAGAGAGUUAGACCACAUUUUUCCGUGUAUUUGAAGUUCAGGCCGAUAGGUAGGAGGAAAUUGUUCUUCCGUGCUGGAGGAACGUGUUCCUUGUGUUGUGUACGAACCUGGAUCUGGGAGAAGGGGAUCUCAAAGCUAAAGCUCUCAUUGAAGUAAGGAUUCAGAGUGUUUUGUUUGACUGACGUCUUCUUCUUCUUCAGUCGCUUCCCAUUGUGCUGCAGCACCACCUUGACAAAGGGAUCUGAGAGAGAGAGACACAACAUCAGACAGUGGAUCAGAAGAACCCUAACUGCCCUAACUGCCAUCCUUUCUUUAGUACAAGCAUGUGCGCAUGUGUGUGUGAGUGUGUGUUCACCUGACAGUCCUCCCACAUCCAUCUUCUUCAGGUUCUUGGCUUCCAUGAUGUUGAUCGUUAGCUUACCGGCCGUGGGGACGUAACGAAGGGAGAUGCAGACAUCGCCCAGUUUCUCUUGCUGUCGGGGACAUGACAUGUAAAUGGUUGAGUUGUCACGCUGCUCAGUCCUUUGAUUGCUUUAAAAGCUGAUCCUUCCAUUCUUGUAUUGGCUGGGCGAGGUCUAUGCUGUUCAUGGGGAUCUUGAUCUCGCCGAUGACGUCGUGUUUACCGAAACGGUCAAAGUCAAACACCUGCAGCACCAAAGUCUGACCACCCAACUCACUGUAGGGUAUCUAGAGAGGGAGAGUAUAGACAGAAAUGGUUAACUCUAAAGUGCUUGAGAUGCGUUGAUGUUCAUGCUGGAUCAUUUAAAAAAUUAUACUAAUAAUGUGGUCAACGGUUUCCUUGUAAUGUUUUCAGUUCAACAUGGUCUCUCUCUCUCCGGUAUCGCUGCACAGACCUUGAAGGUGAAGGUCUCAUUGAAGACGGGACAGAGGUUCUUGCGCUGGACUUUGGUCUCAAACUUCUUCUUCUUGUCCGGCAGCAUGUAGACUUUGACGUAGGGAUCUGAGGACCCACCGACGUCCAUGGCCGCGAGGUCCUGCGCCUGGAGAAUGCCGACUAUCAGCUGGAGAAGGAGCACUUCUUGUAGAUGCAGAAUCCCAUGCAGACGAUAAGGGCGAGGACCACGACCACAAUGGCUCCCACCGCCCACAUGGGCACUGGAAGAAGGAGGCAGAAGACAGGCAUGCAAAGUCAUCAGAUGUGGAAAAGGUUCGUCUUUCCUUGUCCCGGUGAUAUCUGGGUAAUGUUAGCAUGUUGGAUGUGUUACCAUUCACAUUAACCUACAGCGGUGCAGCCACGCCGAAACAACCACCUCAACUCUCUCUCUCUCGUGCUGUUAGAGCCAGAGGCGGGGCUUCCAGCUCCGACGUUUUCAUUUGCUCUCACCACAGUGUGACUGACUCGCACGCCAAUCAGCUUCUUGUGCUAACCUAAGCACCUGUAGCCGACAGCUUUACAGGUAAACAUUUCAAAACAGUGUGAGAUUAGUGUCAUGCAAAAACCUCCCAUGGUUGUAAAUAUGGUUAAAAAGGCUAUAUUGAUUGGCCAUCACUAGUCCAGUCUGAAGUAUUUAAAUGAUUAUCAUAGGCUCCAAGAGGAUACAUUCUAUAAUAAUUAAAUGUUUUGAAAUGUCAAAUACUUUGGUUUAUGACCAAAUGCCUGCAAAAAUAAUGUUUCCCAUCAGCCUCAACUGUACUUUGUGUUUAGUGCUAGUUAGGAAAUAGUAGCAUGCUAACCUAAGACGGUGAGCAUGACCUGCUUUUCAUUAGCAUGUUAGCAUUUUCAUAGUGAACCUGUUAGCAUGGCUGAGGUUAGCAUGGCUGACUUGUUUGAUGCUCAAACCUGCAAUAACUGUUAUGUUUUGGCCACUUCAGGGCAGCAGAAAUGUCUUUUCAUCACCUUUUAAGUUCACAUGAUGAACGUACCAUAAAACUCAUUUACACAUCUUGCAGAUACAGAGAAACAUUAGAAUUCAUUUGGAGUUGUGUUGCUGCCCACCCUGUGAAUCUACGUCCAAUAUUCACUCUCUUUUUGCUUUGUUUUUGGUCUCUGCCAACUCCUUGUUAGCUGCUAAAUGCUCCAAUAUGUUCACCAGCUAAUUGUAUGUGUCUGCUGUUUGGUGCUGAGCAGGUAGUGUGCUGUGGGUUUAUAGAGCUCUUUAGUUGGAAACAGCUGUCUGCUAUAAGGAUAAAAAACGAUGCUACAAGAGCGCUGAGAGGGGAGCUGCAGAUCUGUUUGUCAAUUCUCUGUAGUUCACAAUGAGCGACCCCCUUUUACAUUGUCAUUUGGUACAUUGUCAUCGUAAAAAUAUUGAUUUAUGGUCACUCUAACAUAUCAAAGACAAAUAUUUGAUCAUUCUAACUCGGUGUCUAGACCGCAAGUGUCACAUCAUCGACACUGAAGCGACUUCUUUAUUCCGGUUCUGUCGGGCAGCGAAGGAGCAGCCAAGCUUUCUGUGGAGUGAUUUACAAGAGUAUGCCUGAUGUAUUUUUCCAUAAAUACUGUUGCAUAUGAUUCAGCCAUAAUUAUACAAUGAACUUGACAGCUGACCUUUAUUUUGAUUUCGAUUUUUAGCAUUCCAAACUUUUUUGUUUCCUUAGACGUGGGCUUCCGCACCUUUGGCAAGAGAGCCUAAACAAAGGUUUUUUUAUGGUGAAGGAUGUGUCUCCAUAAUUCCAUAAUACUACUCUCUACUAUAACUUUGGUUGAACUUCUCUUGCAGAACAGUCAGUACAGAGCUGUUUUUUUUUUUGCCACCUGUAGAAGACUUCAAGAAGACAUUUUUCUUUAAAAUGGGAAAAGCUUGAAUGGUACAAGAAGCGAGAUGGACUUACUCUUGAGUUUAUGAUCUGGAAGAGCAGAGCGGUCACAUGAAGAAAUGAGAGAGGACAGAAUGAAGAAAUGAAAAACACGAGGAUUCAUAAGAAGAUGACAUGAUGGCUCGAUGAUGUUGUGUGUGCUCACUUGGCAGGUGCGUGAGCUCAUUGAAGAACUUGUUCUUCAUGCUGGCGAACUGGUGGUUGGAGUGGUGCGAGGGAGGCGGUGGGCGCUCCUUCUCCUCCUCCUCGGCCGCCCUGCGGGGCCGCCCCCCGGCCACGCUGACCAAUCGCAUCGCUGCUGUGGGAAAUCAAAGGAGAGAAAAUGACAAACGUCCGAAGGAACUAUGCAAGGAAAGAGGAAACGAGACGUCCUGUCUUCAGUUACAUCACGUGAAGCGACUUCUGUUUCUGAUGACGGCGGCUGCUGCUGAUCACAGCUGGAUCAGCUGUCAGUCGGCUUUCACAGCUGGAGAGACUUUUGACGGAGUUUGUCUGUUCACAUGUGAACUGUACUUCUACUAAUAAAGACAGUUAUCUCUGUAGCCUGUCACCUGUUAAACUAACUGCAUUGAGUAUUUAUACUGUGUUUUGUGUCCCGUUUAUAUGCACAGGACCAACUUCUACUGGCGGAAUGCGUUUGUCUUAUGUAUUUUCCAUUUGUAUGUUUUGAAAGUCUGAUUGUGAAGUCAUUAAAUAUCCCAGAAUAUGAUUGUGGUUUCUUUGGAACACUGGAAUUCAUUUAUUAGGCUGCAUGUUUUAACUCAUCAAAACCGACACUCAUGAAUUAUCAGCCCCACACGACUGAAUGGAAAUGAUGUAAAAAGUAUUUUUUCUCUCCAGCUCUCUGACUUUAAUUGUAUCCAUAAUAAAAGUUAGAGGGAAAUGUCAGAUCAUGAAAGGACAAAUCUUUCAA